CCACCCCGCGCGCGGCCCUGCGAGCCUGGAGCCUGCCAGCGGAGGCCACGCCCCCCAUACGGCGGAGGGUCUGACUCGCCGAGAUUCACCACCUUCCUGCGGCACAGCCCGCCCUCAUGCUUUCUCUGAUUGGCCAGAGGCGUUGCCGGCUGAACCCCUUCUUGAACGAACCUGGAGAGAUGUUUCCUCUAACCAAUCCAGACAGCGUUCUCUCCGGACUUUUCGACGAUUGGAUGGAUGUCACCGUCGUCCAAUGAUCCUGCAGUCACCAAGUUGUCGUGAGCUGUGGUUCACCGCAGUCAUUUUCUUCCUUUUGCUUGUGUCUUUGGAAUAAAACGUCCAAAAGCGGGAUGUAUGGAAUCUCGCUAUAGGAGUUCCAAAUUUACAUCGAUGACGUUCAAGGGAAGGUGCUUGGCUCCGAGAGUGCUAACUCAGGCCUGCCGUCACUCCUUCCUGCUCCUGUGCAGCUCGCUGGCUCGGUGCUUCCUCAGAGAUGCAGCUAAGAUAAUAGAAGUCAAGUUCUGGCAUCUGACUUAGGGGUGAUCUCCAUCCAGGAGGGAGGAAUCAAGAAGCUUGUUGAUGUCUCCAAUUAUUAAUAUUGAUACAAUUAAAUCUUUUAUGUGUCAUUCAAUCAAACAAAGGCUGCGCAUCACAAAUAAAAAUAAUGUGUUCUUUCUUCUGGAUUUUACCUGAGAUCAAAGCGUUAAGUUUAGGUCUGAGAAUUUCUGGUUCUGCUGAGCUGAUCAGGGAAGAGUGAUGUGGGAAGUAAAACAGUUCCUUUUUAAAGUUUCCUUUCUUGUUAAAGAAUAUGCGUGCUAAUAACUUUGUUAAGCCCUAUCCUAUGUAGCUGUUAAACAUGCCAUGCUUAUAGGCACAGAGUACAUUCUAUGUCCUUCCACUUUAACCAAAAUACCUGUGUUGGAUGUGCUCACAGGCAUGGCCCAGCUAGCUCUCCAUUGCUUUUACCUGUUUAGAAAAGUUUUGUUAGCCAAUCAGGUUUUAGUUUAGAUUGUGGGGUCUGGCUCCAGCCCACAAAGAUCAGAAGCAGCAGUCAGGACGACCCCAAAUGCAUAAGGAAGAAAUUUGUCUAUUUUCCUUUAUUCAUUGUACGCUCAUGGCAAGAUGGCUAGCAAGAGUACCUUUCCUGCAUUCAAGGAGGUAAAAAUUACGUUGCUGAAAGAUCCUUUAUUUCAGUGCCGAUUUUUCUCUGUGACACCAAGCAUCUAUUUCCAACAAACGAGAACAGCCAGGCUGUCUGUUCUUCAAGCUGAAGGAAGAGGGCACUGAGACAAUCUUCUCUUCCUUCCAAGUUUUGUUCAGGGCUGAAUAGGGUUUGAAAAUCUGGAAGAACAAUGAGAGGAUACCUCUUCUCCACAGAGGAGAAAAGGGCCGCUGGAGUUUGGAGCCUAAUGAUCUUACAAAGAAGGGAGCUGUUGCUGACUUAGGAGCUUGGGAGAAGCUUCUCAAAUAAAAACAGGCCAGGCAGGCCUCCCUGCUGGGAUAUUUGAUCUUUGCUCCAAGUGCAGUCAGACCUGUUUUGGGCUUGGCUAAUCACUCUCACUCACUGAAGAGCUGAAAGGCUUAUUGUUCAGGUGGCUGUAAAAGAACGCAGAGGCUGUGAAAAGUCCCACUGUUUAAUAUUUGAAAAGGUCAUCUGUCUCAGGGUUAAAAUGUAAUCUAACAAAUUUUUUAAAAAUCCUUUUGUCCAAAGGCAAAAAAGAGAACAUAAGGAGUAGAAAUUGCUAAGCUGUGAAGAAACAUCUCUGUAUUUUACAGAGUCACUUUUCUGCUUGGGCAUGGUUGAUGAUCAGCUAUGGCCCUGUCCCCCUACCUCCCUCCAGAACACUGGAGUCUAUUCACCAUUCAUUCACCUGGCCUCUGGAAUGGGUUCUGAGGGCAGCCAGGUACAGCACCCAACAAGGCAACCUCAGAAGCUGCAAAUGUCUUACACAGGUUUAAGUUGUCUGAAAAGAAGCUUUAUGGCUUAGCUGAACUGGGGGCCUAGAAAGGGGGCAGGAGGGAGUCUAUUUAUUUUCUCACCUCAUGUGAGAUGACAUCAACUGAAAAUCAAAUACCAAGAGAAACUCAGUUUGGAACCACAUAAGGGCAGAGAAGGAAUCCAUUCAUUUCUAGAAAGCUCUGCUCUACUUUUUUACUCGUCUCUUCCUGUUAGCAGGGCAACACCCUUCCCCAUCCCAAAGGAAAGACUUGGUCACACUUGGUCAGAAAAGGCACGUCUCACAAAGGUCUGUGAGGCUGAACUCAGAGAGAAAGCAGGACAUGCAUAUAUGUGGGGAGGGGAGAGCAAGGACUUUGCUCUGGAGGUUACUGUCAAUUACAACACAGGGAGAAGUCAAAGACAAGAGGAGUAGGACAGGUUGGAGCCACAGUUGACUGGGCCUUGAAUGCCAUGCUAAAAAUUUGCAAUUUAUCCUUAAGCAUGUUGCAAUUUAUCCCUAGGAUAAUUUUUACACCUUUUAAAUUUAAAUUUGAGACAUUGUCUCAAAAUAAAAUCAAUUAUGUUUAUGUUGCCCAGGCUUGUCUUGAACUCCUGGCCUCAAGCCAUCCUCCUGCCUCAGUCUUCGGAAUAGCUGGGACUUAUAGGCACGCAGUACCGUGCCCAGCUUACAGCUUAAAAAAUUAUUAAGUCAUAAUUAUUUAAGCAUUAUUAAGUAAUUAAUUUACUAUUAAGUAGGAAAAAUAAUUACAGAAAUACUAGAAACUAGAAAUGAGCAAUUUUAAUCAAAACCCCAAACAGAACAAGCCGUAAUCAUAUGACACAGGGUAACCACGAGAACAUUUUGGGGAAAAAUGGUCUAUGUAUGUAUAUUCAUAUAUAUUCAAACAAAAAAGAAUAAUGCUUUACACUGCUUUUUUUGCUUUGUUUUUGUUUUUGAGGUGGAGUCUGGCUUUGUUGCCCAGGCUGGAUUGCAAUGGUGUAGGCUUGGCUCACUGCAACCUCUGCCUCCCAGGUUCAAGCGAUUCUCCUGCCUCAGCCUGCCGAGUAGCUGGGAUUACAGGCAUGCGCCACCACACCUGGUUAAUUUUUUAAUUUUUAAUAGAGAUGGGGUUUUACCAUGUUUGUCAGGCUGGUCUUAAACUCCUGACCUCAAGCAAUCCACCUGCCUCGGCCUCCCAAAGUGCUGGGAUUACAGGUGUGAGCAACCGCACCCGGCCUACACCCGGUUUGAUGACCCGAUUUUUUGUCAUUAAACGUUAUAAAGUAGAUUUAUUCACAUGUUAUUUUCCUACAUAGUUAUUUCAGCUUUUCCUGACGUAACAUUCCUGAGGAGUUGACACCUCUCAUGAGUAACAAGGAUUGAAAAAGGGGUGAUAUUUAAAAAUGAGACACUCCCCUUUAAUUAAUAAAUAUAUAUACAGGGUCUCACUCUGUCACCCAGGCUGGAGUGCAGUGGUACAAUCAUGGUUCACUGCAUCCCUGACCUCUCGAGUUCAAGGGAUCAUCACCCCUCAGUCCACCAGUAACUUGGACUACACAUUCAUACUACCAUUCCCAGCUGCUUUAAAAUUUUUUGCGGCAAUGAUACCUUACUAUAUUCCCCAGGCUGGUCUUGAAUUCCUGGGCUCAAGCAAUCCUCCUGCCUUAGUUUCUCAAAGUGCUGGGAUUACAGAUGUGAGCCACCACACCCAGCCAGUACUCACCUUUUGACUUACUAGUCUAUAUAUUAAUUUAGAUGUUUGGGCUGUAUUUCAUUUAAGUCCUUAUGGGACUAUUUCAACUGCUUUUAAUGCUACACACUUGCCAAUAAUCCUUCAGUAAACAUAUAGGAAUUUAUAAUUCUGUACACUGUUAAAAGAAAAACUUCAGCAGAAUUAAACUUAAAAGAGUUUAAUUGAGCAAUGAAGGAUUCAUGAAUAGGGCAGCUCCCAGAAUCACAGCCGAUUCAGAGAGAUUCCAGUACAGCCAAGUGGUGGAAGAAGAUUUUUAGACAAUAAAAGGGAAAUGACGUACAGAAAUGGGAAGUGAGGUACAGAAAUAGCUGGUCUGGUUACAGGCUGGUGUUUGUUUUAUUUGAACAGUUUGAACACUUAGCAGUCUAUGAGUCGUUGAAGUGUGGCCACUGGGAUUGGCCAAGACUCAGCUAUUGUUACAAGCACACGAGCUUCUGAAUUAGGUUUUCAGUCUUGUCUGCCUAUGUUUUUUUUUUUUUUGGAGAUAGAGUUUCGCUCUUGUUGUCCAGCCUGGAGUGCAACGGUGUAAUCUCAGCUCACUGCAACCUCCACCUCCCGGGUUCAAGUGAUUCUCCUACCUCAGCCUCCCAAGUAGCUGGGAUUACAGGCAUCUGCCACCAGGCUUGGCUAAUUUUUUGUAUUUUUAGUAGAGAUGGGGUUUCUCCAUGUCGGUCAGGCUGGUGUUGAACUCCAGACCUCAGGUGAUCAGCCUGCCUCAGCCUCACAAAGUGCUGGGAUUAUAUGCGUGAGCCACCAUGCCUGGCCAAAACUUUUCUUUUUUCUUUUGAGACAAGUCUCACUCUGUUGCCCAGGCUGGAGCAAUUAAGCUAGAUUACAAUACAUCAGCAAGGACUCAAAUACAGAAGUCUGGAGUCCUCCUCGGGCCAUAUUUACUUUGCUUUAGCAAUUCCCUCCUUUUGGUCAUUUUUCAAAUUUAAGAGAUUGACUAAAACUUCAGUCCUUGAUGUAACUAUCACCAUCGUAAAUGUAUUUAUUUGAUUUUGAAACCCACUGGGAAACAGCAGAACAGUGAGUUUUGCAAAGGUAGGAACAAGGACUGAGUAGAGGUUACCUCCUUAUGUUGGAAGGUCCUUUUAUGGAAGAAAAACAAAAUCUGUUCUGUUCUGGUCUAGGGUUUAUGUGUUUCCUUAAAGUCUUAGUUUGAUUAUGUCACAUUUAGCAUGAGUGACUCCAUUUUUGUUUGGUUUGGUCUGCUGGGGCCUAGUAUGUGAGUUUCAGUCCAAAACAAUGGCCUCCCAUAAUUGUGUUUAAAAAUCCUCCCUUUUUGGUCGGGUUCUCAUUUAGGUGAGAGUGUGACCACAAUUCAGGGCCUUAGUGUCACUCUCAGUUACUACCAUUUUGCAUUUCUGAUCUCAGUAUGUCAUUCAUAGGUUAUGGUGUCCUCAUGGCCAUAUAUUGCUUUCAGUUUUUGUCAUUCCAGUUGUAGAGAGACUAUUUGACACUUUAGAGAUGGCUGUAUGUAAACAUUUAAAAUCUUUGAGAGAAUACAGUGUGCCAGGGAGACUAUUAUUAUGACUAUUGGGAGGAUAAUACCAAGAGUUUGGAGUAUGUUCUUUAUUCAGUGUCUCUACAAAUAAAACCAGCUAAAAUCAAAUAGAUCAAAGAAUGAGUUAUCAUGAAGAGUCUACUCGCCUAGGUGAGUGCUCUUUUCAUUAAUUCCCUACAACUGAAUUUUGAUAAUUUACAUUUGAUGUAUUUCUCUAUAGGCCACAAGUGCCAGUAGCUGUAUAGAUACUUUUCUGUUUAGUCAAUUCUACAAGUUAGUAUAACUUUUCAAGAGAGUUUAAAGUCUGUUGGGUAACUAUAGUCUUUACAGUAGAGCCCAUUAUAGAGCCUAUCUUGAGGGAUACAUUUCUAAUUAUUGUUCCUUUUAUUCUAAACUGUGGAAAAAGGACCUAACAAAUGAUGUAUUUUUAGAAGAGUGAAGUCCUCUUGGCAAUGUUAUCUCUAUGAUGUGGAUUAAGAGGAGUGAAUCAAUGUUCUGUUUCUGACUGAUUAUGAGGCAAUGUAUGUACCAUUGAAGUUUUUCACCUACCUUGGGACUUUCUCUUUUAUCUAUCAAGGUUAUUCAUGCAUAUGACUGGCUAUAAAAUUAUUUACAAAUAAAAAUAUACUCCAUAA